rnacentral:rRNA from 1 species
GCUCUUCUUGGAUGAGUUGCGAACGGGUGAGUAACGCGUAGGUAACCUGCCUUGUAGCGGGGGAUAACUAUUGGAAACGAUAGCUAAUACCGCAUAACAAUGGAUGACUCAUGUCAUUUAUUUGAAAGGGGCAAAUGCUCCACUACAAGAUGGACCUGCGUUGUAUUAGCUAGUAGGUGAGGUAACGGCUCACCUAGGCGACGAUACAUAGCCGACCUGAGAGGGUGAUCGGCCACACUGGGACUGAGACACGGCCCAGACUCCUACGGGAGGCAGCAGUAGGGAAUCUUCGGCAAUGGGGGCAACCCUGACCGAGCAACGCCGCGUGAGUGAAGAAGGUUUUCGGAUCGUAAAGCUCUGUUGUAAGUCAAGAACGAGUGUGAGAGUGGAAAGUUCACACUGUGACGGUAGCUUACCAGAAAGGGACGGCUAACUACGUGCCAGCAGCCGCGGUAAUACGUAGGUCCCGAGCGUUGUCCGGAUUUAUUGGGCGUAAAGCGAGCGCAGGCGGUUUGAUAAGUCUGAAGUUAAAGGCUGUGGCUCAACCAUAGUUCGCUUUGGAAACUGUCAAACUUGAGUGCAGAAGGGGAGAGUGGAAUUCCAUGUGUAGCGGUGAAAUGCGUAGAUAUAUGGAGGAACACCGGUGGCGAAAGCGGCUCUCUGGUCUGUAACUGACGCUGAGGCUCGAAAGCGUGGGGAGCGAACAGGAUUAGAUACCCUGGUAGUCCACGCCGUAAACGAUGAGUGCUAGGUGUUGGAUCCUUUCCGGGAUUCAGUGCCGCAGCUAACGCAUUAAGCACUCCGCCUGGGGGAGUACGACCGCAAGGUUGAAACUCAAAGGAAUUGACGGGGGCCCGCACAAGCGGUGGAGCAUGUGGUUUAAUUCGAAGCAACGCGAAGAACCUUACCAGGUCUUGACAUCCCGAUGCUAUUUCUAGAGAUAGAAAGUUACUUCGGUACAUCGGUGACAGGUGGUGCAUGGUUGUCGUCAGCUCGUGUCGUGAGAUGUUGGGUUAAGUCCCGCAACGAGCGCAACCCCUAUUGUUAGUUGCCAUCAUUCAGUUGGGCACUCUAGCGAGACUGCCGGUAAUAAACCGGAGGAAGGUGGGGAUGACGUCAAAUCAUCAUGCCCCUUAUGACCUGGGCUACACACGUGCUACAAUGGUUGGUACAACGAGUUGCGAGUCGGUGACGGCAAGCUAAUCUCUUAAAGCCAAUCUCAGUUCGGAUUGUAGGCUGCAACUCGCCUACAUGAAGUCGGAAUCGCUAGUAAUCGCGGAUCAGCACGCCGCGGUGAAUACGUUCCCGGGCCUUGUACACACCGCCCGUCACACCACGAGAGUUUGUAACACCCGAAG